rnacentral:piRNA from 1 species
UGCAGGAGUCCUGGCAUUGGCUUGGUGGA